rnacentral:rRNA from 1 species
GUCGAGAAUUUUUCACAAUGGGCGCAAGCCUGAUGGAGCGACGCCGCGUGGGGGAUGAAUGGCUUCGGCCCGUAAACCCCUGUCAUUUGCGAUCAACCCUCAUUAUUUAAAAGAUGAUGAGCUGAUGGUAGCGAAAGAGGAAGGGACGGCUAACUCUGUGCCAGCAGCCGCGGUAAUACAGAGGUCCCAAGCGUUGUUCGGAUUCACUGGGCGUAAAGGGUGCGUAGGUGGUGGGGUAAGUCGGAUGUGAAAUCUCGGAGCUUAACUCCGAAAAGGCAUUGGAAACUGCCCUGCUAGAGGUUCGGAGGGGGGACUGGAAUUCUCGGUGUAGCAGUGAAAUGCGUAGAUAUCGAGAGGAACACCAGUGGCGAAGGCGAGUCCCUGGACGACACCUGACACUGAGGCACGAAAGCUAGGGUAGCAAACAGGAUUAGAAACCCCUGUAGUCC